rnacentral:tRNA from 1 species
GCAGCUUAGUGGUACAGUGCUUGCUUGGCAUGCUUGAAGCCCUAGGUUCGAUCCCUAGUGCA